rnacentral:rRNA from 1 species
AUUGAACGCUGGCGGCAGGCCUAACACAUGCAAGUCGAACGAGCGGCGGACGGGUGAGUAAUGUCUGGGAAACUGCCCGAUGGAGGGGGAUAACUACUGGAAACGGUAGCUAAUACCGCAUACCAUCGGAUGUGCCCAGAUGGGAUUAGCUAGUAGGGGGGGUAAAGGCUUACCUAGGCGACGAUCCCUAGCUGGUCUGAGAGGAUGACCAGCCACACUGGAACUGAGACAAGGCCCAGACUCCUACGGGAGGGAGCAGUGGGGAAUAUUGCACAAGGGGCGCAAGCAGGAUGCAGCCAUGCCGCGUGUAUGAAGAAGGCCUUAGGGUUGUAAAGUACUUUCAGCGGGGAGGCGUUACCCGCAGAAGAAGCACCGGCUAACUCCGUGCCAGCAGCCGCGGUAAUGC